rnacentral:tRNA from 1 species
GCAAGUAUAGUUUUAAUCCAAACAUUAGACUGUGAUUCUAAAAAUAGAAGUUAAAACCUUCUUACUCGCC